UACGUAGGGGGCGAGCGUUGUCCGAAGUUACUGGGCGUAAAGCGCGUGUAGGCGGGUCUUUUAAGUGAGGGGUGAAAAGGUUCGGGCUUAACCCCGGACACUGCCUUUCAUACUGGAGACCUUGAGUGCGGGAGAGGCGAGUGGAAUGGUCGGUGUAGCGGUGAAAUGCGUAGAUAUCGAUCGGAACACCCAUGGCGAAGGCAGCUCGCUGGCCUGUAACUGACGCUGAGACGCGAAAGCGUGGGGGAGCAAACAGG
rnacentral:rRNA from 1 species